rnacentral:lncRNA from 1 species
UCUUGCAAAAUCAUUUAUGUAGUAUAUGGUAAAUCAGAGUAUGCUUCUAGUAUAAUCAAAAUCUAUGUACACAUGUAGUUGGAACAAAGAGGAGUUUAGUAGAUGUUUGUUGAUGGUAUAUAAUGAUUACUUUUAACCGUCAACUAAAUGCAUCAAGGACAUCACCACUAGAAAACAUAGGGACUCUAACUGACAAUUUCCACGAGUUUUGGCGAUUUCAUGUUUUUUGUAGGAUUAUUCUAGAAAAGAGAAAUUGGAGGAUUUAAUUGUAAGUUUACACAAAACUUAACC